GAAAUGCGAUAAGUAGUGUGAAUUGCAGAAUUCAGUGAAUCAUCGAAUCUUUGAACGCACAUUGCGCCCCUUGGUAUUCCAUGGGGCACGCCUGUUCGAGCGUCAUUUGUACCCUCAAGCUCUGCUUGGUGUUGGGUGUUUGUCCCGUCUCCGCGCGUGGACUCGCCCCAAAGUGAUUGGCAGCCGGCGUACUGGUCCCGGAGCGCAGCACAUGUCGCGCAAACGAGUGCCUUGGUACGGCGGCGUCCAUAAGCCCCUCUCUCACGCUCUUGACCUCGGAUCAGGUAGGGAUACCCGCUGAACUUAAGC
rnacentral:misc_RNA from 1 species